rnacentral:rRNA from 1 species
AGUGAACGCUGGCGGCAGGCCUAAUACAUGCAAGUCGAACGGCAGCACAGCAGAGCUUGCUCUGUGGGUGGCGAGUGGCGGACGGGUGAGGAAUACAUGGGAAUCUGCCCAGUCGUGGGGAUAACGUAGGGAAACUUACGCUAAUACCGCAUGCGCCCUUCGGGGGAAAGCCGGGGGACCUUCGGGCCUGGCGCGAUUGGAUGAGCCCAUGUCGGAUUAGCUAGUUGGCGGGGUAAUGGCCCACCAAGGCGACGAUCAGUAGCUGGUCUGAGAGGAUGAUCAGCCACACUGGAACUGAGACACGGUCCAGACUCCUACGGGAGGCAGCAGUAGGGAAUAUUGGACAAUGGGCGCAAGCCUGAUCCAGCCAUGCCGCGUGAGUGAAGAAGGCCCUCGGGUUGUAAAGCUCUUUGUCCGGAAAGAAAAGCGCCGGGUUAAUACCCUAGUGUCCUGACGGUACCGGAAGAAUAAGCACCGGCUAACUUCGUGCCAGCAGCCGCGGUAA